GAUGAACGCUAGCGGCAGGCCUAAUACAUGCAAGUCGAACGGUGUCUUCGGACAUAGUGGCGCACGGGUGCGUAACACGUAUGCAACCUACCUUACAUUGGGGGAUAGCCUUUCGAAAGGGAGAUUAAUACCGCAUAAGACAGUAGCUGGGCAUCCAGCAGCUGUUAAAGAUUUAUCGAUGUAAGCUGGGCAUGCGUCCAAUUAGCUAGUUGGUGAGGUAACGGCUCACCAAGGCAAUGAUUGGUAGGGGAACUGAGAGGUCAAUCCCCCACACUGGCACUGGGAUACGGGCCAGACUCCUACGGUAGGCAGCAGUAGGGAAUAUUGGGCAAUGGACGCAAGUCUGACCCAGCCAUGCCGCGUGCAGGAUGAAGGCGUUAUGCGUUGUAAACUGCUUUUAUACAGGAAGAAACGACUCUUGCGAGGGGCAUUGACGGUACUGUAUGAAUAAGCACCGGCUAACUCCGUGCCAGCAGCCGCCGUAAUAC
rnacentral:rRNA from 1 species